rnacentral:rRNA from 1 species
UACAGAGGGGGCGAGCGUUGUUCGGAAUUACUGGGCGUAAAGGGCGCGUAGGCGGCCCGCUAAGUCGAACGUGAAAUCCCCAGGCUCAACCUGGGAACUGCGUCCGAUACUGGCAGGCUUGAAUCCGGGAGAGGGAUGUGGAAUUCCAGGUGUAGCGGUGAAAUGCGCAGAUAUCGGGAGGAACACCAAUGGCGAAGGCAGCUCGCUGGGACGGUACUGACGCUGAGGCGCGAAAGCGUGGGGAGCAAACAGG